GGCGGCAUGGCCAGGCGGUAAGCCAGGGGACUGCAAAUCCUUUAUCCCCAAUUCAUAUCUGGGUGUCGCCU
rfam:Hordeum vulgare subsp. vulgare, WGS project CAJW01000000 data, contig: morex_contig_310884